GCGGCGCCGUUUGCGCAGCGCGCUGUCCGCCGGCGGCCCCCGGUGCUCGGGAGCCCGAUGUGACCCGACAGAGAAAAUGGCGGCGGCGGCGGGGGAUCGCGCCUCGUCAUCGGGACUAUCCUCGGGCGGCGGCGCGGAGGCGGCCGCCGCCGCCGCCUGCGGGAGCCUGAAAGGCGGCGCGGUGGCGGGGAGCGUCGCCGGGAGCGGCGGGGGGCUCUUGCGGGAGGCGGGCGGCGGCAGCCGAGAACAGCGCUCUGACUGGAGACGGAAGCAGCUGCGCAAAGUGCGGAGCGUGGAGCUGGACCGGCUGCCGGAGGCGCCCCUCUUCCUCGCUGCCGCCCCGGCCGCCUCCUCCUCUUCCUCCUCCUCCUCGCCGGAGCCCCCCGAGACGCUGCUGCUCCACUACCUCCCCGGGCCGCCGCGCUCCAGCCCCGCCAGCCCGGCUGCCUCCCCCAGCCGCUUCGCCGAGCUCCUGGAGCCGCUGCCGGCGGGGAGCCCGGCGGGGACGGACCCAGCCGCGGAGCGGAGGAUGGAGCCGUCCCCCGCCGCGAGUCGUGACAUGGAGAAUAAAGAAACCCUUAGGGGGUUACAGAAGAUGGAUGACCGCCCAGAAGAGCGCAUGAUCAGGGAGAAACUCAAGGCAACAUGUAUGCCAGCCUGGAAGCAUGAAUGGCUGGAAAGAAGAAGCAGAAGAGGCCCUGUGGUGGUGAAGCCUAUCCCUGGAAAAGUAGAUGGAUCAGAAAUGACCAAACUCUGUCUAGAUCCUCAAGCUGAAGGACAUAACACUGCUUCUUCACCUACGCAAAAAGGAAGACGUAGCCCUUCUCCUAGCAGUUCUUCUUCAUCAUCUGCUAGGACAGUUAAAUCUGAGUCACCAGGUGUUAGAAGAAAAAGGGUAUCUCCAGUGCCUUUUCAGAGCGGUCGGAUAACACCACCUCGACGAGCCCCUUCUCCAGAUGGCUUCUCCCCAUACAGCCCUGAGGAGACAAAUCGCCGUGUCAACAAAGUGAUGCGAGCCAGGCUCUACUUGCUGCAGCAGAUAGGACCCAACUCUUUCCUAAUUGGAGGCGACAGCCCUGAUAAUAAAUACAGAGUGUUUAUUGGCCCUCAGACUUGCAGCUGUGGCCGUGGGACGUUUUGUAUUCAUCUGCUGUUUGUUAUGCUGAGGGUCUUUCAGCUUGAACCCUCAGACCCAAUGCUCUGGAGAAAGACACUGAAGAACUUUGAGGUUGAGAGUUUGUUCCAGAAAUAUCACAGUAGGCGUAGCUCGAGGAUCAAAGCUCCAUCUCGUAACACCAUCCAGAAGUUUGUCUCACGCAUGUCAAAUUCUCAUACAUUGUCAUCAUCUAGUACUUCUACAUCUAGUUCAGAAAACAGUAUGAAGGAUGAAGAAGAACAGAUGUGCCCCAUUUGUUUGUUAGGCAUGCUGGAUGAAGAGAGUCUAACUGUGUGUGAAGAUGGCUGCAGAAACAAAUUGCACCACCACUGCAUGUCAAUAUGGGCAGAAGAAUGCAGAAGAAACAGAGAACCACUCAUCUGUCCACUCUGUAGAUCUAAAUGGAGAUCUCAUGAUUUUUAUAGCCAUGAAUUGCCAAGCCCUGUGGAUUCCUCUGUUCUCCGUGUGGUUCAGCAACAAUCUCAGCAGCAGUCUGCAGUUGGAUCACAGAGGAGAACUCAAGAUAGCAAUUUUAACCUUACUCAUUAUGGAGUCCAGCAGAUCCCUUCUACUUAUAAAGAUUCAGCUGAGCCAUGGAUUCAGGUAUUUGGGAUGGAGCUAGUUGGCUGCUUGUUUUCUCGAAACUGGAAUAUACGAGAGAUGGCACUUAGACGUCUUUCCCAUGAUGUUAGUGGUGCUCUAUUACUGGCUAACGGUGAAAGCACUGGAAACUCUGGAAGCAGCAGUGGAAACAACACAAGUGCUGGAGCUCUGGGAGCAGCUAGUGGGUCAUCUCAGACCAGUAUCUCAGGAGAUGUGGUGGUAGAGUCCUGCUGCAGCGUGCUGUCCAUGGUCUGUGCUGACCCUGUCUACAAAGUGUAUGUUGCUGCUUUAAAAACUUUAAGAGCCAUGCUAGUGUACACUCCCUGUCAUACUUUGGCAGAGAGGACUAAACUACAGCGACUUCUCAAGCCAGUUGUAGAGACGAUAUUAGUUAAAUGUGCAGAUGCUAACAGUCGAACAAGCCAACUUUCAGUUUCAACACUAUUGGAGAUGUGUAAAGGUCAAGCAGGCGAACUGGCAGUUGGAAGAGAAAUACUUAAAUCUGGAUCCAUUGGUAUUGGAGGUGUUGAUUAUGUCUUAAAUUGUAUUCUUGGAAAUGAAAUCGAAUCUACCAACUGGCAAGCACUGCUGGGGCGACUUUGUCUAAUAGACAGACUUCUGUUGGAAUUUCCCAGUGAAUUUUAUCCCCACAUUGUCUGUGGAGAUGUCUUGCAGGCUGAUACCAUAGUUGACAGGUAUAAGAAGCUUCUCUCCCUCUUAACUUUCGCCUUGCAGUCAAUUGACAAUUCCCAUUCAAUGGUUGGCAAACUGUCACGGAGAAUAUUUUUGAGUGCAGCAAGAAUGGUAGCAAGAGUGCCGCAUAUUUUUGUAAAGCUGUUAGAUAUGUUGAGUGUGACAAGCUCAACUCAUUAUGCAAGGAUGCGUCGACGUCUGAUGGCAAUAGCAGAUGAAAUGGAAAUUGCAGAAGCCAUUCAGCUAGGCAUGGAAGAAAUGCACUCUGGGGAAUGCCGACAUGAAGACUUUUUACACCUACCUGUGCCAGAUAACUCUCCAGAAACUACAGAAAAUAAUACUCCUAAUAAUACUGUCCAGUUAUCAGGGAAAAGUGGGAAAGGUUUAAGUGACAGAAAACUGAGUGCCAGUCCAGAUGACUUUCCUGAGAUGCUAGCUGGCCUUGCCAUGGGACCUCCUGUUUCAUCAGUAACCACUGAGCAACCAAAACCAGCCAUUCAAACAAAAGGAAAACCCCAGAGUCAGUGUGUGAACUCUUCUCCCUCACCCAGUCAUUCCCAGUCACUAUUCCCAACACUUCUGUCUCCAUCAAAUCCAUCUGUACCAGCUGGCACUGUAACAGAUGUCUCUAAACUCAGACCUCAGGGAUUUGUUCCCUGCAAAAUCCCCUCACCUUCUCCUCAAACACAGCGGAAACUUUCUCUCCAGUUUCAGCGAAACUGUUCUGAAAAUAAAGAAUCUGAGAAACUCUCUCCAGUUUUUACCCAAGCCAGGCCAUUGCCCUCCAGUCAUGUACAUAGGCCAAAGCCAUCACGACCCACCCCAAGUGAUGUGAACAAGCAAGGAGAAACCUUAAAAAGCAGUAUGACACUUGACCUGAAUGAUAUUUCUCAGUGUGAUGGCAAUAGCAGUGCAGUUAUACCAAGUGAAGAAACGGUGUUCACACCAGUAGAUGAGAAAUGCCGGCUGGAUGUUAAUGCAGAGCUCAAUUCCAGUAUUGAGGACCUGCUUGAGGCCUCCAUGCCAACGAGUGAUGGCACAGUUACAUUCAAGUCUGAGGUUGCAGUUCUUUCUCCUGAGCGGGCAGAAAAUGAUGAUACUUACAAAGAUGAUGUAAAUCAUAAUCAGAAAUGCAAAGAAAAGAUGGAAGCUGAAGAGGAGGAAGCUUUAGCUAUUGCUAUGGCAAUGUCAGCAUCCCAGGAUGCCUUACCAGUAAUUCCCCAACUACAAGUUGAAAAUGGUGAAGACAUCAUAAUCAUUCAGCAGGAUACACCAGAAACCCUGCCUGGACAUACCAAAGCAAAACACCAUUACAGAGAAGAUGCAGAAUGGCUUAAAGGUCAGCAAAUUGGUCUUGGAGCUUUCUCUUCCUGUUACCAAGCUCAAGAUGUGGGAACAGGGACCUUAAUGGCUGUAAAACAGGUGACAUAUGUCAGGAACACAUCAUCUGAGCAAGAAGAGGUGGUUGAAGCACUGAGGGAAGAAAUAAGGAUGAUGAGUCAUCUAAACCAUCCUAACAUUAUUCGAAUGUUGGGUGCUACAUGUGAGAAGAGCAACUAUAACCUUUUUAUUGAAUGGAUGGCAGGGGGUUCAGUUGCUCACUUGUUAAGUAAAUAUGGAGCCUUCAAAGAAUCAGUUAUUAUUAAUUACACAGAACAACUUUUACGUGGCCUUUCUUACCUCCAUGAGAAUCAGAUAAUCCAUAGAGAUGUUAAAGGUGCCAAUUUGCUAAUUGACAGCACAGGUCAUAGAUUAAGAAUUGCUGAUUUUGGAGCUGCAGCCAGGUUGGCAUCAAAAGGAACUGGUGCUGGGGAGUUUCAGGGACAGUUGUUGGGAACUAUUGCAUUUAUGGCACCAGAGGUCCUGAGAGGUCAGCAAUAUGGAAGGAGCUGUGAUGUGUGGAGUGUUGGCUGUGUUGUCAUAGAAAUGGCUUGUGCUAAACCUCCUUGGAAUGCAGAGAAACACUCCAAUCAUCUUGCUCUGAUAUUUAAGAUUGCUAGUGCAACUACUGCUCCAUCAAUCCCUACACAUCUGUCUCCAGGCUUGAAAGAUGUGACUCUUCGAUGUUUAGAACUUCAACCUCAGGACAGACCACCUUCAAGGGAGCUGCUGAAACACCCAGUCUUCCGUACUACAUGAAGUUCUGAAUCCUGCAGUACUGUGUCCCGCUCGUGAUGUUGCAGCCUCCUUUCUAGGAACGAGGGAUGGCAGAGAUCACUGGUGCCCAGCAGGUGACAGUAAACUUCAAGGACGCCUACUUAGGGAGCCAAGUAUGUGCACAGGGCAUGUUCAGUUCUUGCACAGGGAAAGGGUAAGCUCCAUGCCUGGUGUGACUUCUCCAGUGAGAAUAAAAACACAUUUCUGCGUGUUGGUCAUAGGUUGAAGUCUGAUGGCAUUUCAUCUUUGCAAGUUCUCUCUCGAGGCUAAGGAAUGCCUCCAGAACAUGUUGGAAUGUCACAUAUGUCCUUUCAUCACAUGAAAGUGGGCAACUUGUGUGCAUGGCAGUUGUGACCUGACAGCCCACCUCCCAAAGUUCUCUAUUUCCCUUACUGACUUUUCACUCGUUGCUUAGUCUUCCUUAGUGACCUGAAUCACGCUGUGACUGCCUUACUUUUCAGAGCCACAAUAUGCAUGUGAUGUGGUGAACAUGUGUGCUAUUUUGUGGUUAUAGCACAUGGCUGCUGAAACCAGAGUUGCAAGUCUUGAGGUGAGACCUUUCUUCCCUGUAGUUACCGAGGAAGGCCAGGAGAUGGCAGGGAAGCACUUUGCGGGCAUUUUUCCUCAAUUUCUUCCGUUCGCACCAGCUCUGCGCUAAGCUCCUGUUCUUGGAAGGGGUGAGGCAGGCCAACUGGGGAAUUGAAGUGAUUGUGGAAUAAAUCAAGGCACAACUUUAAAUAUUUGUAAAGCUCUGAGUUGGUACGUUAAUUCUAAUAGUUACAUUGCUUUGAUGGGCCUGUGUCAGAUUUCCCAAACCCUUGUCAAAAUUUCAGGUCCAGAGGAAGGACUGUAACCCCUUAGAGUGUUUUAAAUGUCUGAUUUCUCUAUUUACUCCAAAACCAAUUCUCAGAUGCUCCAUAUUUUUAAACUGCUUUUUGAAUAAAGUAAAAUACAUACAUGCGUGUUCUUUUUUCCCAGUUCAUUGUGUAAUAAAUAGGUGUGAUUCAUGCUGAUAAAAUUGAAACAGUAAUCAAUAUUGAUACAGUAAUUAAUACUUGGAAAUAAUAAAACAGUUAAAGGUGUAAUGCCAAGAAAGAAAGGGAGAGGAGGGGCACCCCCCUUUCUCCUGCAGAUGUUCAGAACAAGAAGCAAGAGAACUAUUACUAAAUUUAGUUGGAAGAGAGGAAAAUUUGGUUGGACAUCCAGGAAAAUGCUAAUUAUAUGAGAAUUAUUGCUUUGAUGCCAGAACAUAAUAUUGGCUUGUAUGAUACUAGCUUUGGCUUACAUUGUACCAGCUUGGUGCGCAUGUGUAGUCCAAACAGUGAAUCAAAGGACGGCGAGGAAGAGGAGAGGCCUUCUUCAGGAAUGACCCCCAAAGAGUGGUGCGACCACCUAAAAAAUGGUGGAGCACGCGUGGUAAAGGUGAUGAUGAGGGUGGAGAUACAAGUGUGACGAAUCGAAAAUGGGAGGGGAUGGUAAUGAUGUACAGCAUAAAAGGGGUAAUUUUGGUUUGGCAAGCUUGUACGUGAGGGAACAGGGGUCAAGCCCUGCCCCCUGUUCCCUGCGCUACCCCAUGCAGUUAUUUUUGCUUCUGUGCUAUUAUAAGAACCUAAUUAUCCCUUAUUUUAACCAAAUUAUGUUGUCAAUAUUUCAAGUGUAUUCAAUUUUAUAUAUUUUAAGCUACUUAAUUAAAAUUGCUGCUACAUUUAAUUUCACUGGGUUUCUUUUAUGAUGGGAUAAUUGGGCAAAUACAACAAUUGGCAGUGUUAAACUAAAACUGAAGAUGAGCAGCAUCCAAAGAUUUAAGUUUCAUGAAACUGGGUAUCCAAGCAGCCAAAGGACAACAGUGGCCAAAAAUAACAGUACCCUUAUCUUUACACCUGUGGUGGUUUGUAGAGAAUUAUUUGAGGACCAUUGCUAAUUUCUGAAGACCAAUUGCUGAGUGAUUGUUUUCCUCACUAGAGGUUUUUUUUUUUAAUUAGCUUAGAGAUAAGUGAUGGUAGAAUGUGGCACCAAAAGGACUUAUGCCCCUGUUUGUAAAUGCUCGUGAUUUGUAGUAUAUCCCUUCAAUCUGUGUACUUCGAUGCUGCUGUUGCUGUACAUCAGUCAGUGGGAAGCACCCUUAAAUCUACAGUAGCUUAUGAUGUUACAAAGUACAAGUCUCAUCUCCUUGUUACCACAGCCACAUACUAGCUAAAAGCGUGGACAGAAGUGUAACAAGGCUCACGUCUAUAACUGAGCCACCCUUUUUGACUACAUGGAUCACAACUCUGGAGGACAAGUGUUAGGAGGAGCAGCUGAGGGAGCUCGGGUGGUGUGGGGAUGGGCUCAGCCUGGAGAAAAAGAAGUUCAGAUGAGACCGUCCUGAAAGCAGCCAGGUCGGCCUCUUCUCCCAGGAAACAGAUGUGAGGAUGUGGCCGUGACUGCUGCGAGGGAGGUUCAGGACCCUUCGAUAUGUUCCUGAAAGCUCUCAAGACAAAAUUAUUGCUGAUGAAGAUGUUUUUGAAACACUAGUGAAAACAUUUAAAGCUCUGUUCAUAAAUGACUUCAGUAGACAAGCAGAUAUUCUGGCCUUGCUUCCAGAAGUCAAGUGUCAAUAUCUGGAAUUACUUACUGUGGAGCAGCAGCGGUCAGAAGUAAAUUCUUGUAACCAUCAGGGUCA